rnacentral:rRNA from 1 species
AGUGAACGCUGGCGGCAGGCCUAACACAUGCAAGUCGAACGGCAGCACAGUAAGAGCUUGCUCUUACGGGUGGCGAGUGGCGGACGGGUGAGGAAUACAUCGGAAUCUACUUUUUCGUGGGGGAUAACGUAGGGAAACUUACGCUAAUACCGCAUAUGAUCUACGGGUGAAAGCAGGGGAUCUUCGGACCUUGCGCGAUUGAAUUAGCCGAUGUCGGAUUAGCUAGUUGGCGGGGUAAAGGCCCACCAAGGCGACGAUCCGUAGCUGGUCUGAGAGGAUGAUCAGCCACACUGGAACUGAGACACGGUCCAGACUCCUACGGGAGGCAGCAGUGGGGAAUAUUGGACAAUGGGCGCAAGCCUGAUCCAGCCAUACCGCGUGGGUGAAGAAGGCCUUCGGGUUGUAAAGCCCUUUUGUUGGGAAAGAAAAGCAGCAGGUUAAUACCCCGCUGUUCUGACGGUACCCAAAGAAUAAGCACCGGCUAACUUCGUG